rnacentral:lncRNA from 1 species
CUUGAUUGACAGUCACGCAGUGGCAAAGCUGGGAGCAGAGUCCUGGCCUUCCUUCUUGACCAGGAUCCCUUCUCUGUUCACCUGUCCAUUUGGGGAUGUCUUGGGACCUUCCCUGGAAAACCAGGGGUGUGAUGAGCUCAAUUGUGGGCAUCAGGCGUUGAUGGGCUUGGACUCUGAGAGCAUGUCUCACCUCCUUCGUUUUCAAUUGCCUGCCCUUUAGCUCAGGAGGAACUGCCCACCUCCCCGUUAAGCUUAGCAAUGAGAAUAUUAAGACGUAACAUGGAGGAUAGUAUCAGACUCCCUGGGAGUGGACAUGAGAAGUGGAUACCUUGAAAAUAGACCCAUCUCCUUGGACCCAUGUUUCUGAAAAAAAUCAACCUAUUGAUUGACUAAGCUGAGCCGUUUUCAGCUUGAGCCCAUUUAUUCAUUCACUCGUACAUUCAACUUUUCCUUUGUGUGUUCAAUUUAGCACUUACUUGGUGCUGGCUCCUAUUCUGGUAUCCAGAAAAUAUGCCGAAUCAGACAUUAUCUUUGUUUUUAAUGUGAUUCAUGUGGCCAAGGGGAUACAUUUAUGAGUAGUUUGGGAGAGUGAGGGGGUCAGUCUUUUAUCAGCAUUAGGGGUUAGUUUGGGGCAGGAGUCUUGGCUGCAUCAGGAGUCAGUCUCUGGUCAGGGAACAUGGUGAAAGUCACCAGAGCACGAGUCCAUUUACUUGAGCUUCUUUGCUUUAGAGUAGCCUUGAAUGUGGUUGUCUUUCUCAUGACCCACAAUGUUAAUCUCAGUCGUGAUAUACCCAUUCCCAGGCAACAGAGCCCUAUACCCUUGAACAAGGGGAGGAAGGGACUUAGUAGAAGUCCAGAGCCUCUUGUCAUUACACCAUUCUCCGCUCAUUGGGGCGAGGGUGGGAGAGAAGUAAUCUGGUCGGAAAGACUCCACAUGGGUUUGGAGUGUGAGCCAUUGCAAGAUUUAAAGAUCAGCUCAUCUUAGGAAUGAAUCAGAGUUCCAACACAGAAAGAUAAUUUGCACUUUAGAGAGACAGUACUUUCGUAAAAAGGAAUCGCUAAGCCACCGCCUAACCAUGCCAGCGAUUUUAGCUGAAUAUUUUUCCAUGUUAAACUCUCAGAAUGUCAGAGAUCGAGGGGCCCCUGGGAGAGAGUUCUGGUUAUCUUUAAACGGUGCUCUCUGGGGAGUUCCUGUUGUGGCACAGCGGAAACAAAUCUGACUAGUAUCCAGGAGGAUGUGGGUUCGAUCCCUGGUCUCUCUUGGUGGGUUAAGGAUCUUGUAGGAUGCAGACGUAGCACAGAUCCCAUGUUGCUGUGGCUGUGGCUGGCAGCUGUACUUUCAAUUUGACCCCCAGCCUGGGAACUUACAUAUGCCACAGAUGCAGCCCUAAAAAGCAAACAAAACAAAACAAACCCCAUGUUCUCUGGAAUCCUCUAUUUCUUUGGUGGUGCCCAUGUAUAUGCUGGGCUUGGGAUGUGUUGGGGGGUCCCUCAUAUGCUAUAAGACAGCAGGACGGAAGAACAGCACCCUACUCCCUCUCUCGUCUCCCACCUUCCACCCCAGCCCCCUUCCUCUAGAGACCUUCUCUCCCUUGGAAACGAGCAUUUCUGCCCAUUUAGGGAAGACCUGCUUGACUCUUCACAGUGUCCAAGUGCAUCACCCAAGGAGAGGUGGGUGACAGGAUAAGCAGAAUAGGUUCCCCUCAAGGCAGUGGCUGGAACAUCCUUCUUGUGGACAAAUGGGCAGCAAGGGCAUCGACUGGCAGAGACCUGGCACCUGGAGAGAUGGUGUAGUCUGUCUUUCCAUCUUCUGAGAGACCUACAUUGUGGAAAAGGAACUGUUUUAAAGAAGGUUCUCUCUCUACAUGAGUUACAUUGCUUUUCCGUUUCCAGUGAGAGUUGGAUGUGCUUAAGGUAGAGGUACAGGUGAGACCCUAGCAAUACACCUUCCAGUCACCUUUUAUUUUCCCCCAAAACAUUUCCAAAUGAGACUUAUAACUUUGGAAAGUGUUUCCCCAGUUUUUGUGAUAUUUCUUCCUCCAAGUAGGUUCAAGAACUUGGUUUAUUACCUCUUCCCAUUCUUGUUUUAAAUUUAUUCUUCCUUUUGCUGAUUUCAUCCAUUGCUAAUGGAGCUAGGGGCUUGGAGCAUGCAUCUAAGGGAGACUGGAUUCCAAGCUUGUCUUAGAGAUUCUCAGAAUUGAGGGAAGGAGGCAAGAAAAAAAGGGGCAGAGCUGGCUGAGCUGAGACAGCCAGGUCAGCAGAGGAUUUGGUUUUUGUAGAACAAAUUUGAAUGAGCUCUGGCGGGGGCGGGGGGGGGAGGGGCGUGCUCUGUAUACAGAGAUCAUAGUGUAAGUGGCGCCCCCUGGAGGCAGGAGGUGCAUCCAGCCCUGGCUAGCCUGGUCUCUCCCUCUUUGCCUCCCGUUGGCCACUAUUCACGCUCCUUGUAUGAGUCCUGGAGAUGGUACCUGGGCUUAACCCCUGGGGGAUUGGGGGCAAAAGGAAAAACCACUGAGGGUUGGGGGAAAUGGGAAGACAUCCUAGAGGAAUAAGAGAGAUGGAGGUCCAAAAAUAACAGAACAUUUAUGGAAGGGGGAACUGCAUGUAUGAAGGCCUGGAAGCUCUAACUGGACCAGAGUCCACACCUCUUCUGGGUCCUCCAUGGAAUCAGAAAGGGCAGGAAGGUGGGACAGUAAAUCUUGAAGAGGCCAGUGAGCCACACUGACCGGUGUUUACUCUCCUGAAUGGGAGGCUGGCUGAUUAUUCUUGAUCCAAGUGUGAGUGGGUUUGUUCUGCACACGCUUUAUGCAGCCUUCCAGAAUGUCCUGCCUCCCCCACCCCCCAGUUGGUUGGUCCUCCAACAGUGCUGUUUGUCGUUCCUUCGAGGUCCUGGUGUUCUUGGAAGCUUGUUGUUUCUCUCAUCCUUAUUGAAAUUCUAAUUGUAUUGAGAGGAAUUGAGGUUGGUUUGACCUGAGAUGGGCUUUUAGAAGCCAGCGAGGGUGCUUCUCUUCAGAUAUUUAGCAGUAAUUGUCUUAUGAAGAGCUCUCAAGUUCACACUCAGAGAACAAGCCUAUAAUUUCUAUUCAAAUAGCUUCUAAUGAGAUGACGCUUUUGUCAACUUCUGGGGCCAAGUCAGGCUGUGGAAAAAAUGUAUUUUGGAUUCCUUGGCCCUUGGACAAACUCAAAAUAAGCACCGAAUAUGCUCUGGAGCAUCACAGAGGCAUAAGAAAUAGACACUGAAGUGUAAUGGAGGGCACAAAAGGUCUGAGAAUCUUUAGAAGCUUUAUCCCUGUGUCAUUUAUUCACUUAUUUAUAAAACAUUCAUCAAACACCUACCGUAUGUAUGUGCUAGAGCUGUGCUCUGUGCGGGGCAUCAGAGGAUGAAUAAGAACUGCAUUCUGGGCCACGAGAAUGAUGCACGGCCCCGUGCCAUAUGAGUGGGGUGUGCGUAUGUGCGCGCACACUUGUGUGUGGGGAUUGUUGUGUGUGCCUUUUUGUGGUGGGCAGACAGUGACAUCAAAGUGUGAUAAGAGCAUCACUCAUAGGGUAGCCAUACAAUUUAUCAUUUAAAUUGGGGCACCUUUGGGCCAAAUGCUAAACCCUGGACAGCAAGCAUAGACUGGGACAGUCCUGGGCAAACUAAGAUAUCUGGUCCCUCCACAUAAGGUCUGGCUCAGGGAUGAGCAGAAGACUUCCUGGGGAAGAUCCCUCUGGCCUCUCUCUAUCCAUUCCUAUAUCCCUCCAGUUACUGAAGUUCCAGCUUCAUCAUCCCUUUUCUGGGAAGCUUCCUUAGGCCUGUCACCACCAGACCUAACCCUCUUCAUAGACUCUCAUAGCCCCACAGAUGCUUCUAACCACUUAUCCCUGAGAUGAUUGUACAUGCAUUUGCAUAUUCCAUAAAUCCUAGGAGAAUGAGUGGGCCGAGCCUUGACAUACAGUAGUCCCCCUUACCUGUGGUUUCACUUUCUGCUGUUUCAAUUACCUAUGGUAACUGCUGUCCAAAAAUAUUCAAUAGAAAAUUGCAGAAAUAAGCAGCUCACAAGUUUUAUUUUUAUUUCUCAAUGAAUUAUUAUGUUUAUAGUUGUACAAUGAUCAUCACAAUCCAGUUUUAUAGUAUUUCCAUCCCACAACCCCAGUGCAUCCCCCCACCCCCCAACCUAUCUCAUUUGGAAACUAUAAGUUUUUCAAAGUCUGUGGGUCAGUAUCUGUUCUGUGAAGAAGUUCAUUGUGUCCUUUUUUCAGAUUCCACAUGUAAGUGAUAGCAUUUGAUGUUGCUGUCUCAUUGUCUGACUUCACUUAGCAUGAUAAUUUUUAGGUCCAUCCAUGUUGCUAAGGAUGCCGUUAUUUUGUUCCUUUUAAUGGCUGAGUAAUAUUCCAUUGUGUAUAUGUACCACAUCUUCUGGAUCCACUCCUCUAUUGAGGGACAUUGAGCUUGUUUCCAUGUCUUGGCAAUUGAAAAUAGUGUUUAUAAAUUUUGGAGAUUAAUCCCUUGUCAGUCAAUUCAUUUGCAAAGAUUUUCUCCCAUUCUGUGGGUUGUCUUUUCAUUUUGUUUAGGGUUUCCUUUGCUGUGUAGAAACAUUUAACCCUGACUUCAGACUAUACUACAAAGCAACAGUCAUCAAAACCGUAUGAUACUGGCACAAAGACAGAAAUAUAGAUCAGUGGAACAGGAUAGAAAGCCCAGAAUUAAACCCCCACACCUCCUGUCAACUACUCUAUGACAAAGGUGGCAAGAAUAUACAAUGGAGAAAAGACAGCCCCUUCAAUAAGUGGUGCUGAGAAAACUGGAUGGUCACAUGUAAAAGAAUGAAAUUAGAACACUCCCUAACAUCAUACACAAAAAUAAACUCAAAAUGGAUUAAAGACCUAGAUAUAAAACCAGAUACUAUAAAACUCUUAGAGGAAGACAUAGGCCAAACACUCUCUGACAUAAACGAUGGCAACAUCUUCUCAGUUCCACCUCUUAGAGUAAUGACAGUGAAAAUCACAACCCACCCAUUAGUCACUUAAUAAGUGUCUGGGUUAUCAGAUGCACUGUCAUGAUAUCACAGAGUUUGUGUUCAAAUCACCCUUAUUUUACUCAACAUUGGCUCCAAAGCAUGAGAGUAGUGUUGCUGGCAAUUCAAAUACACCAAAGAGAAGCCAUAAAGUGUUUCCUUUAAGCAAAAAGGUGAAAGUUCUUGCCUUAAUAUGGGAAGAACAAAAAUUGUACGCUGAGGUUGCCAAGAUCCAUGCUAAAAAGAAUCUUCUAUCUGUGAAAUCAUGGAGAAGGAAAAAGAAAUUGUGCUACUUUUGCUGUUGCACCUCAAACUGCAAAAGUUAUGGCCUCGGUGUGUCAUCAGUGCUUUAAGAUGGAAAAAGGCAUUACAUUUGUACAGUAAGGCAUUUUAACAGAGACCACAUUCACGUAUGUCUUAUUACAAUAUACUGUUAUAAUUGUGCUAUUUCAUCAUUGUUGUCAAUCUCUUGUCGUGCCUAAUUUAUAAAUUAAACCGUAUCAUAGGUAUGUAUUUGGUACUACCUGUGGUUCAGGCAUCUUGGAGGUCUUGGAACAUAUCCUUCAAAAAUGGGGUGGGUGGGGGACACGUACUAUUCUACUUAGCCAGGUGGCUGGGCACCUGGAGAAAGAAGAAGGUGGGUGGGAAGGAUCUGGAAUCAGAGUGUAUUCUUGCAGGGGGCCUGAUGGGUGUGAGGUCUGGCGCCAGGAUGAUGCAUGUGGGUGGUCGAAACAGCCCAAUGUGCCUGGAUCAUGGGGUGCAGCAGUGAGGGGUCAUGGGGGGGGGGUGUUGUGGAGAGGGAAGGCUACAUCCUGUUGGGUUUUUGAACCACAGUGUGGUCUCUGGUCCACAGCUGCCUUACCUUCCUCUCCCUGCAGGGGAUUAAAUGAACUCUAAGGUAGGUCCUCCUGCCUUAUGGUCCUUCCACUGAUCUGGCUAAUUGCUUAAGGACAUUUCUUCUUCUUUUUUUUUGGUCAUUUCUAGGGCCACAC